rnacentral:rRNA from 1 species
AUGUACAUUCCUACAACUUAAMGUUAAUGCAYCRGAUCCCAUUAGAACUCUACAUUUAACCRUGCUCGRACUAGAGUAGUACUGGGAUGGGUGACAACCCAUGAAGUCCUAGUAUUUUACAUG